rnacentral:tRNA from 1 species
UGCAGGCAUGUAAAACUCUAAUCUACAUCUCCUGAAUGCAACU